CAAAAAGAAGCUGAUUUAGCAUUUUAUUUACAUUAAAAAGAUUGAUUUAUUUAUAGAAUCCUUUUUGA
rnacentral:tRNA from 1 species